AGCGAACGCUGGCGGCAGGCCUAACACAUGCAAGUCGAACGGACCCUUCGGGGUUAGUGGCGGACGGGUGAGUAACACGUGGGAACGUGCCUUUAGGUUCGGAAUAGCUCCUGGAAACGGGUGGUAAUGCCGAAUGUGCCCUUCGGGGGAAAGAUUUAUCGCCUUUAGAGCGGCCCGCGUCUGAUUAGCUAGUUGGUGAGGUAAUGGCUCACCAAGGCGACGAUCAGUAGCUGGUCUGAGAGGAUGACCAGCCACAUUGGGACUGAGACACGGCCCAAACUCCUACGGGAGGCAGCAGUGGGGAAUCUUGCGCAAUGGGCGAAAGCCUGACGCAGCCAUGCCGCGUGGAUGAUGAAGGUCUUAGGAUUGUAAAAUUCUUUCACCGGGGACGAUAAUGACAGUACCCGGAGAAGAAGCCCCGGCUAACUUCGUGCCAGCCGCCGCAGUAACAC
rnacentral:rRNA from 1 species